rnacentral:misc_RNA from 1 species
GAUAAAUGCUACCUCCUGGUCCUACCGUAUCGACUCCACCUCCAGCCACAGCUUGUGACUGUUGCAGAAGUGGGUGAACUGUUCCUGGAGUUACUGCUUGUGCUGGGUGAUAGAUACUGGCAAAUGUACCAUGCCCUGUCUGUGUUGGGGUAAAGGUCACAUGUUGACCCUGUGGUGGAAGGUUGUAGAAUGAAUUCGUGGGCAAGCUCGACAUGUCUCUUCCGGGCGCACCAAUCCAUACAGCCGAACCUUCACUCUGUGGUCCAGUGAUGUAUACACUAUUUUCCUUAAACUGCGACGCACCAAGGUCCUCAUUAGCAGAGAUAUUUCCAGCUGGUGCAGCAGUGCUAGGGCUGUAACCAGAUGCUGAAGAGCCAUAAGGGCCAU